CAGUAGCCGCGGUAAUACGUAGGGUGCGAGCGUUAAUCGGAAUUACUGGGCGUAAAGCGUGCGCAGGCGGUUUGUUAAGACAGAUGUGAAAUCCCCGGGCUCAACCUGGGAACUGCAUUUGUGACUGGCAAGCUAGAGUGUGGCAGAGGGGGGUGGAAUUCCGCGUGUAGCAGUGAAAUGCGUAGAUAUGCGGAGGAACACCGAUGGCGAAGGCAGCCCCCUGGGCCAACACUGACGCUCAUGCACGAAAGCGUGGGGAGCAAACAGGAUUAGAUACCCGUGUAGUCCCUGUCUCUUAUAC
rnacentral:rRNA from 1 species